rnacentral:rRNA from 1 species
GCAAGUCGAGCGCGAAAGCACUUCGGUGUGAGUAGAGCGGCGGACGGGUGAGUAACGCGUAGGAAUCUACCUGGUAGUGGGGGACAACCUGGUGAAAACCAGGCUAAUACCGCAUACGCCCUGAGGGGGAAAGCGGGGGAUCUUCGGACCUCGCGCUAUUGGAUGAGCCUGCGUUGGAUUAGCUAGUUGGUGGGGUAAAGGCUCACCAAGGCGACGAUCUUUAGCUGGUCUGAGAGGAUGACC